GAAACGACUGCUAAGACUGGAUAGGAGACAAGAAGGCAUCUUCUUGUUUUUAAAAGACCUAGCAAUAGGUAUGCUUAGGGAGGAGCUUGCGUCACAUUAGUUAGUUGGUGGGGUAAAGGCCUACCAAGACUAUGAUGUGUAGCCGGGCUGAGAGGUUGAACGGCCACAUUGGGACUGAGACACGGCCCAAACUCCUACGGGAGGCAGCAGUAGGGAAUUUUCGGCAAUGGAGGAAACUCUGACCGAGCAACGCCGCGUGAACGAUGAAGUAUUUCGGUACGUAAAGUUCUUUUAUUAGGGAAGAAUAAAUGAUGGAAAAAUCAUUCUGACUGUACCUAAUGAAUAAGCCCCGGCUAACUAUGUGCCAGCAGCCGCGGUAAUACAUAGGGGGCAAGCGUUAUCCGGAAUUAUUGGGCGUAAAGGGUGCGUAGGCGGUUAAAUAAGUUUAUGGUCUAAGUGCAAUGCUCAACAUUGUGAUGCUAUAAAAACUGUUUAGCUAGAGUAAGAUAGAGGCAAGUGGAAUUCCAUGUGUAGUGGUAAAAUGCGUAAAUAUAUGGAGGAACACCAGUAGCGAAGGCGGCUUGCUGGGUCUUUACUGACGCUGAGGCACGAAAGCGUGGGGAGCAAACAGGAUUAGAUACCCUGGUAGUCCACGCCGUAAACGAUGAGUACUAAACGUUGGGUAAAACCAGUGUUGAAGUUAACACAUUAAGUACUCCGCCUGAGUAGUACGUACGCAAGUAUGAAACUUAAAGGAAUUGACGGGACUCCGCACAAGCGGUGGAUCAUGUUGUUUAAUUUGAAGGUACCCGAAAAACCUCACCAGGUCUUGACAUGCUUUUGCAAAGCUGUAGAAACACAGUGGAGGUUAUCAGUUGCACAGGUGGUGCAUGGUUGUUGUCAGCUCGUGUCGUGAGAUGUUGGGUUAAGUCCCGCAACGAGCGCAACCCUUAUUGUUAGUUACCAGCACGUAAUGGUGGGGACUUUAGCAAGACUGCCAGUGAUAAAUUGGAGGAAGGUGGGGACGACGUCAAAUCAUCAUGCCCCUUAUGACCUGGGCUACAAACGUGAUACAAUGGCUGUUACAAAGGGUAGCUGAAGCGCAAGUUUUUGGCGAAUCUCAAAAAAACAGUCUCAGUUCGGAUUGAAGUUUGCAACUUGACUUCAUGAAGUUGGAAUCGCUAGUAAUCGCGAAUCAGCAUGUCGCGGUGAAUACGUUCUCGGGGUUUGUACACCCCGCCCGUCA
rnacentral:rRNA from 1 species